rnacentral:rRNA from 1 species
GACGAACGCUGGCGGCGUGCUUAACACAUGCAAGUCGAACGUGAUUUUUGUGGAAAUUCUUUCGGGAAUGGAAAUGAAAUGAAAGUGGCGAACGGGUGAGUAACACGUGAGCAACCUACCUUACACAGGGGGAUAGCCGUUGGAAACGACGAUUAAUACCGCAUGAGACCACAGAAUCGCAUGAUAUAGGGGUCAAAGAUUUAUCGGUGUAAGAAGGGCUCGCGUCUGAUUAGCUAGUUGGAAGGGUAAAGGCCUACCAAGGCGACGAUCAGUAGCCGGUCUGAGAGGAUGAACGGCCACAUUGGAACUGAGACACGGUCCAAACUCCUACGGGAGGCAGCAGUGGGGAAUAUUGCACAAUGGGGGGAACCCUGAUGCAGCGACGCCGCGUGAGCGAAGAAGGUUUUCGAAUCGUAAAGCUCUGUCCUAUGAGAAGAUAAUGACGGUAUCAUAGGAGGAAGCCC